rnacentral:rRNA from 1 species
CCCUUAGAUGUUCUGGGCCGCACACGCGCUACACUGAAGGAGGCAGCGUGUACUCCUGGAUCGAAAGAUUUGGGUAACCCGCGAAUCUCCUUCGUGCUAGGGAUUGAGGUUUGCAAUUAUCCUUCAUGAACGAGGAAUUCCCAGUAAGUGCAAGUCAUAAGCUUGCGCUGACUACGUCCCUGCCCUUUGUACACACCGCCCGUCGCUACUACCGAUUGAAUGAUUUAGUGAGGACUUCGGAGUGGGACCGAUGCGGCUUUCGGGCUGCGUCGGUAUUCUGGAAAGAUGUCCAAACUGUAUCAUUUAGAGGAAGUAAAAGUCGUAACA